CCAGGAGUUCUUAACUCUCCACCCUCGUGUGUACCUCAGAUACAUAACCUUGGUUGCUUCGGCGGCGCGCCGGCCUCUAGCGCCGGCCGCCGCCGGGGGGACUCACAUCAAAACCCUUGCGAAACCGGAGCGUCUGAGUGAUAAACAAAUAAGUUA
rnacentral:misc_RNA from 1 species